rnacentral:rRNA from 1 species
GAUGAACGCUAGCUACAGGCUUAACACAUGCAAGUCGAGGGGUAACGAGAGGGAAGCUUGCUUUCCUUGUCGACGACCGGCGCACGGGUGAGUAACGCGUAUCCAACCUGCCCCCAACUAGGGAAUAACCUUGCGAAAGUAAGACUAAUACCCUAUAAUUUCCUCAGAUGUCAUCUGACGAGGAAUAAAGAUUUAUCGGUUGUGGAUGGGGAUGCGUCUGAUUAGCUUGUUGGCGGGGUAACGGCCCACCAAGGCAACGAUCAGUAGGGGUUCUGAGAGGAAGGUCCCCCACAUUGGAACUGAGACACGGUCCAAACUCCUACGGGAGGCAGCAGUGAGGAAUAUUGGUCAAUGGGCGGAAGCCUGAACCAGCCAAGUAGCGUGCAGGAUGACGGCCCUAUGGGUUGUAAACUGCUUUUAUGCAGGAAUAAAGUUAGCCACGUGUGGUUAUUUGUAGGUACUGUAUGAAUAAGGACCGGCUAAUUCCGUGCCAGCAGCCGCCGUAA